GAGACCAGAAAUGUGUGAGGGCAGCAAAAAGAGAGGCAGGUCCUGUGAGACGGUUGCUAAAAUUUACUGAGCAGGCACAACUUGCCCAUACCGGGUGCCAGUGCUUUCCAUGCCUGAGCAACCCUAUGCGGGAGGACCAGAGACCCACCUGACCUAUGAAGAAGGAACCUUAAAGAGGAUAUAGAACUACAACUCUAACUGGCUUUAGCAAUGAAGAAAUUUUCUGGUUUCACAUCCUUCAAAGGUCCAGAGGUAGCUACAGAUUCAAGAGACAUGCACCAGGAGGAGCUGGCAAGUUUCCUUGGCAAGAACAGAUGAAUAAAUAAGAAGCAUGAGCUUGCGACUUUUAGCUGAGAUCUCCUCUCCAUGGUUCUCCUCUGUGUGCUGUUCCUGGAGAUUGGCUUUUAUGGACCAUGUCAAUGAGAUUCAUUGCUUUAUGCCCUCCCACUGGAUUCAGCCAACAGGAAGUGCUGUUUAAAAACUUGGAGAGUGGCGUGGGAGAGUCAUCUCAGGGUUUAUAUUUUCCUGAGCCAGGCCCCCUUUCUCCUGGCUCAUUGCAUAUUAACGUCAUUUCUUUCCCAAAUGCUGUAGCUCCCAUCAGAAAGCCCUCUCCAGAUUCUAUUAACCUCGCUAUUCUCUUGUAUCUUUAGGCCUGACAGGAUAACAACUCCAGUCUGUUGCUAGUCCUGUGGGCUUCAUCAUGCUUCAUUUGCUUGAUUCUCCCAUUCAUUUGUAAGUAGUCCCUCAAUAAAGUCUCCUCAAUUACUCCAUCUGUGUAAACCAUCUCUGUCAUGCUAGAUCCUGACUGACAUAUCACCUAUGUAAAAGAUGACACAUGCUAUACGUGGGAUACAUUUACAUUCAAAUUGUGACAUAUUUAAGUAUGGCAUUUUUGAUGAA